rnacentral:rRNA from 1 species
UACGUAGGCAGCAAGCGUUGUUCGGAGUUACUGGGCGUAAAGAGUGCGUAGGCGGUCCUGUAAGUUUGGUGUGAAAUCUCCCGGCUCAACUGGGAGGGUGCGCCGAAGACUGCAGGGCUUGAGUAUGGGAGAGGUAAGCGGAAUUCCUGGUGUAGCAGUGAAAUGCGUAGAUAUCAAGUGGAACACCAGUGGCGAAGGCGAAUCCCUGGAAAAUACCUGACACUGAGGCACGAAAGCUAGGGGAGCAAACAGG